UACGUAGGGCGCAAGCGUUGUCCGGAAUUACUGGGCGUAAAGGGCUCGUAGGCGGCCAACUAAGUCGGACGUGAAAUCCCUCGGCUCAACCGGGGAACUGCGUCCGAUACUGGAUGGCUUGAGUUCGGGAGAGGGAUGCGGAAUUCCAGGUGUAGCGGUGAAAUGCGUAGAUAUCUGGAGGAACACCGGUGGCGAAGGCGGCAUCCUGGACCGAUACUGACGCUGAGGAGCGAAAGCCAGGGGAGCAAACGGG
rnacentral:rRNA from 1 species